CCUACGGGGAGGCAGCAGUGGGGAAUAUUGGACAAUGGGCGAAAGCCUGAUCCAGCCAUGCCGCGUGUGUGAAGAAGGCCUUCGGGUUGUAAAGCACUUUCAGUGGGGAAGAAAGCCUUGGGGCUAAUACCCUCGAGGAAGGACAUCACCCACAGAAGAAGCACCGGCUAACUCCGUGCCAGCAGCCGCGGUAAUACGGAGGGUGCGAGCGUUAAUCGGAAUUACUGGGCGUAAAGCGCGCGUAGGCGGUCUGAUAAGCCGGUUGUGAAAGCCCCGGGCUCAACCUGGGAACGGCAUCCGGAACUGUCAGGCUAGAGUGCAGGAGAGGAAGGUAGAAUUCCCGGUGUAGCGGUGAAAUGCGUAGAGAUCGGGAGGAAUACCAGUGGCGAAGGCGGCCUUCUGGACUGACACUGACGCUGAGGUGCGAAAGCGUGGGUAGCAAACAGGAUUAGAUACCCGGGUAGUC
rnacentral:rRNA from 1 species